rnacentral:rRNA from 1 species
GACGAACGCUGGCGGCGUGCUUAACACAUGCAAGUCGAACGAUGAACCAGGGCUUGCCCUGGGGAUUAGUGGCGAACGGGUGAGUAACACGUGGCAACCUGCCCCAGACACCGGGAUAACCUCUCGAAAGAGUGGCUAAUACCGGAUACGACCACUUUGGGCAUCCAACGGUGGUGGAAAGGAUUCUGGUCUGGGAUGGGCCCGCGGCCUAUCAGCUUGUUGGUGGGGUAAUGGCCUACCAAGGCGACGACGGGUAGCCGGCCUGAGAGGGCGACCGGCCACACUGGGACUGAGACACGGCCCAGACUCCUACGGGAGGCAGCAGUGGGGAAUAUUGCGCAAUGGGCGAAAGCCUGACGCAGCGACGCCGCGUGAGGGACGAAGGUCUUCGGAUUGUAAACCUCUUUCAGCAGGGACGAAGCGAAAGUGACUGUACCUGCAGAAGAAGCACCGGCUAACUACGUGCCAGCCGCCGCUGUAAUAC